CAGUAGCCGCGGGAAUACGAAGGGUGCAAGCGUUAAUCGGAAUUACUGGGCGUAAAGCGUGCGUAGGCGGUUUGUUAAGUCUGUUGUGAAAUCCCCGGGCUCAACCUGGGAAUGGCAAUGGAUACUGGCAAGCUAGAGUGUGUCAGAGGAUGGUGAAAUUCCCGGUGUAGCGGUGAAAUGCGUAGAGAUCGGGAGGAACAUCAGUGGCGAAGGCGGCCAUCUGGGACAACACUGACGCUGAGGCACGAAAGCGUGGGGAGCAAACAGGAUUAGAUACACCUGUAGUCCCUGUCUCUUAUAC
rnacentral:rRNA from 1 species